CUCACUAGAAAAGAAAAAAAAAUACUCAUUAGAUUUUCUUUUUUAAAGUAAGUGUCUCGAGAGUAUAUCGUAGUAGUUAGUUCGUAGAUUCUGUUUCGGGUGUUGCGAAACAGUCUCAUCACGGUUGUAUCCUGGGAUUCAAAAAUCGCAUAAAACUGUCACACAUUACGGGCGAUUUAUUGAGUUAAGGAAAGAGAUCAAAUCUCGACUCCGUGAAUUUCGUCUAUUUCCUUAUAAUUUUUUAAACGUUUUCCAGUCUUUAUAUUAUCAAUCAUAUGCUUUAUGUUUCGUAAUUUUCAAUCAAGAUUUUCGCGGUCCUGCAUUUUUACCAGACAUUAAUCAUAUUAGUUUGUAUUAUUAUUGCUGACAGCUCCUAAUCAGGGUUUAAAGUUAGUAGAGUUUGCUACAUUUAAAUUGUAUUGUGAGAAACAAACAUGUUAAGAUUUAGAAGUUUAUAAGUUUUUUGUUUUCUUGAAGACAAGUUUUCAGAUAAGACGAAAAUACGUGGAAAAUAAAAAAAUAUAAUGGAAUAAUGAUUUCUGAACUGGACUGGUGAUUUUGCAUAUAGAUGUGCUGGUUCAAGUUUUUGGUUCUGGUUUUUACGCCUAGCCCAAUCCAUAACUUGGAGCUCUGUUUAUCUUCAAUCUUCUAAUUUUAAUGAUUUUUCUAAUUUAUCUGGCAUAGGGUCUCCGGAACACUCUUCUGUUAUCGAGCAUCCAUAACUUGCUGAAACACGUUGCAGUUCAUUGCAUAUGCAGAAAGGAAAAAUAAAAACAAAGGAACAGAACCCCAAAAAUCUCUAAUGGGAUCAGUAAAGAACAUUCCACAAGCAAAAUUACCAAAUAAAGGCCCCGAAAAGGAUACAUCAAACCUUAGCCACCAAGACUACAGGGAGUGCAGCUUCCGAAGAUGACGACAGACAAUACUGAUACACCAUGGAUUUUACUAGUUUUUAGCCAUGGUAUAUGAUUGAUUUAGAAUCUAUUAUAUUUGUUUUGGAGUCUUUUAGAGUCUUUUCUGGUUCAUGUAUGUUUUAGAGAAAUAUAGAGAUUAUGGAGCAUUUUGGGGAUAA